AACGUAGGACACGAGCGUUAUCCGGAGUUACUGGGCGUAAAGGGUGGGCAGGCGGCCGUGUCAGAUGGGUGUGAAAUCUCCCGGCUCAACCGGGAGGGGCCACUCGUGACUGCACGGCUGGAGGGCAGCAGAGGCGCGUGGAAUUCCGGGUGGAGUGGUGAAAUGCGUAGAGAUCCGGAGGAACACCAGAGGCGAAGGCGGCGCGCUGGGCUGCACCUGACGCUGAACCACGAAAGCCAGGGUAGCGAACGGG
rnacentral:rRNA from 1 species